rnacentral:rRNA from 1 species
GACGAACGCUGGCGGCGUGCUUAACACAUGCAAGUCGAACGGAAAGGCCCUGCUUUUGUGGGGCGCUCGAGUGGCGAACGGGUGAGUAACACGUGAGUAACCUGCCCUUGACUUUGGGAUAACUUCAGGAAACUGGGGCUAAUACCGGAUAGGAGCUCCUGCUGCAUGGUGGGGGUUGGAAAGUUUCGGCGGUUGGGGAUGGACUCGCGGCUUAUCAGCUUGUUGGUGGGGUAGUGGCUUACCAAGGCUUUGACGGGUAGCCGGCCUGAGAGGGUGACCGGCCACAUUGGGACUGAGAUACGGCCCAGACUCCUACGGGAGGCAGCAGUGGGGAAUAUUGCACAAUGGGCGGAAGCCUGAUGCAGCAACGCCGCGUGCGGGAUGACGGCCUUCGGGUUGUAAACCGCUUUCGCCUGUGACGAAGCGUGAGUGACGGUAAUGGGUAAAGAAGCACCGGCUAACUACGUGCCAGCAGCCGCGGUGAUACGUAGGGUGCGAGCGUUGUCCGGAUUUAUUGGGCGUAAAGGGCUCGUAGGUGGUUGAUCGCGUCGGAAGUGUAAUCUUGGGGCUUAACCCUGAGCGUGCUUUCGAUACGGGUUGACUUGAGGAAGGUAGGGGAGAAUGGAAUUCCUGGUGGAGCGGUGGAAUGCGCAGAUAUCAGGAGGAACACCAGUGGCGAAGGCGGUUCUCUGGGCCUUUCCUGACGCUGAGGAGCGAAAGCGUGGGGAGCGAACAGGCUUAGAUACCCUGGUAGUCCACGCUGUAAACGGUGGGUACUAGGUGUGGGGUCCAUUCCACGGGUUCCGUGCCGUAGCUAGCGCUUUAAGUACCCCGCCUGGGGAGUACGGCCGCAAGGCUAAAACUCAAAGGAAUUGACGGGGCCCCGCACAAGCGGCGGAGCAUGCGGAUUAAUUCGAUGCAACGCGUAGAACCUUACCUGGGUUUGACAUGGAUCGGGAGUGCUCAGAGAUGGGUGUGCCUCUUUUGGGGUCGGUUCACAGGUGGUGCAUGGCUGUCGUCAGCUCGUGUCGUGAGAUGUUGGGUUAAGUCCCGCAACGAGCGCAACCCUUGUUCACUGUUGCCAGCACGUUAUGGUGGGGACUCAGUGGAGACCGCCGGGGUCAACUCGGAGGAAGGUGGGGAUGACGUCAAGUCAUCAUGCCCCUUAUGUCCAGGGCUUCACGCAUGCUACAAUGGCUGGUACAGAGAGUGGCGAGCCUGUGAGGGUGAGCGAAUCUCGGAAAGCCGGUCUCAGUUCGGAUUGGGAUCUGCAACUCGACCUCAUGAAGUCGGAGUCGCUAGUAAUCGCAGAUCAGCAACGCUGCGGUGAAUACGUUCCCGGGGCU